rnacentral:lncRNA from 1 species
UUUUUUUUUUCCCUUGAGGUUCAUGCAUAGAGAAUGUUUUCCCUUUUCUAUUUCUUCUUGUGUCAAUUUUGGCAAUUUGUAUCAUUCAGAUGUCUUUGGUUUCUUCAAAUUGCUGAAAUUAUUUACAUUAAAUUGGUCAUAAUAUUUUUAGUGUUUUUAAAAUGUCUCUAGGAUUGGUGUGAUGCCCUUGUUUUUAUUCUCAUUAUUUCCUUCUCAGUAUUGUCCCUCUGUGGUAUCUUCCCUUUUACCUUGGCCAUUCUAUAUAGAAGAUUGAUUGUUUUUAUUCUUCAAAAUGUAUUUUGUAUUUGUUUUUUUUCUUCCCUUUAAUUCGACUAUUAUUUGCUUUAUGUACUUUAAAAAUACAUUUCUAGGGAGUUCCUGUUUUGGUGCAGUGGUUAAUGAAGCUGAUUAGGGACCAUGAGGUUGCAGGCUCAAUCCCUGGCCUUGCUCAGUGGGUUGGGGAUCCGGCAUUGCCGUGAGCUCCAAGAUGGGAACUCCUUUGUCUUUAUUUUCAAAGUAGUUUUUCUAGUAGGUAGAUAUUAAUCCUUGAUAUUCAGGAACAACAACAACAAAAAAAUAGAAUUCCAAGGGAUUCUUGGGGAUUUCUUAAAUCAUGCUGUCCAAUAUUUGUCACAACACUGUUUUUUGUUUGUUUUGCUAACGAACAUAUUUUUACAUAUAUUUUUCAAUAACAUGUGGAAAUUAUCUCCAUGUGAAAAGGGAACAUUAACAAAAUAACUGCCAUGUAAAACUUAUAAAUUUAAAAAAGAAAAAAGAAAACUAAUACCAUAAAAAUUUAAUAUCUAAAAGGUAUUCUUCUUUACAAAAAUCAUCAUUAAAAUAUAUUUAAAGAAUGAAUAGAAUACCAUUUAAGUUUAUAUUUACCAAUUGAUGCCCAUGGGAAAGAUUUUAAAAGAUUCAUAAAUUCAGUUCCUACUAUUGCAACUAAUGAAAUAUAAUUAUUUAAUGUCAUUUUUUUCAAUGCCUUCCUUUGCAUUUCUGCUUCCAUCAAAAAGACACGAUUCAAAGUUCCCUGGUGGCCUAGUUAAGGAUCUGGCACUGCUGCUGCUGUGGCUAAUGUCACAGCUGUGGUGUGGGUUUGAUCCCUGGCCUGGAAACUUCUGCAUGGCACAGGAACAGCCAAAAAACAAAACAAACAAACAAACAAAAAAAUAAAGAGAGAGAUGGUUAAACCUGUAAUAAAGUUAAUAACUGUGUUCAAUAAAAAGGUAUCACUCUUUAAAAAGUGCUGAACACACAAAGCAUUAAUUUAUUAUUAAUGAAUUAUUAAUUACUACUGUAUUUUAGAGUAUUACUCGGUAUUCACAUAUUCUAUUAAAUGUGCUUACAAAGAACUAUAGCCAAUAGUGAUUAUUAAGCCAUUGGAAUAUGCUAGUGGACAUCAUGGGAUAGUAUUCAUAUAAUGUAACAUUUAAAUCACCUAUCAAGUAAUGUUAACAGCACUGUAAAGGCUCAUGUUCUAAAAAUGCCAAUUUAAGGAUUAUUGUGAAUUCAAAACUUGUAUUUUUUGAAACAUCAUUCAUAGGAUUUAUGUAAGGUAUGCUAUGCAUAUAAACAUUAAUAAUCAUAUUUGUAAGAAUGGUUCACCAUUAGUAGAAGACAGGGCCAUAAUCACAAAUUUACAACGUGACAGUAAUGCUUGUCUCUUACAUACUGGUUCCUGCGAAUGUUUACCUUAACCUUAGACUGUGUGUUAGUUAGUUUUCCUCUUGUUUUUGCGUUGACAUCAAUGGAUUCCUUGAAACAAGUAAUGUCUCUAUAUUUAUUGUGAGGCUUUCAUUUGCACCCCAGAUUUAUAACUUUCCUAUUUUCCCAGUUCCUUGACUGAGAUUUAUCAGGAUCAUAAUUUGGAGAAGUAUUUAAAUUUCCUUAAUAUGCAAGGAAGCAAUUCCAUAUGGAAAUAUUUAUCAUGUAUUUGAGUCUUGAGUUUUCAUCUGAUAAUCUCUGGCUUUUAAUUGGUAUGUUAGACCAUUUAUGUUUAAUAUAAUUAUUAACAUGGUACGACGUAAGUCUACCAUCUUGCUAUUUGUUUUCUACUUUCUCCUGUCUUUGCUUCUUUUUUUCUCCUUACCUGUCUUCUUUUGAAUCAAUUGAGCAUUUUUUAGUAAUCCAUUUUAUUUCUACUUUGAGCAUGUUAGGUAUACUUUUUUAGUCUAUUUGUUUUAAUUGCUUACGGCUUUAUGUUUUUACCUUUUCACAGGUUACUUUCAGAUAUAUGUUAUGUAUAAUAUAAAAACUUAGAAUAGUAUAUGUCCACUUUUUUCUUUUCAUCUUCCUAUCUAUGUGGCACUAUGAUCUUGCUUUUUAAUUCAACAGACACUAUCAACUACAUUGUUAUCUAUAUCUAUAUUUAUGUUUGUGUCUGUGUCUUAAUCUAUAGCUAUACCUAUAUCUGUUUCUGCAUCUUUAUACUUAAAAAGAUAUUAUCAUUUUUAAAAGAUUAUUUUAUAAUUACUCAUUUAUUUACCAUUUCCAGUGCUGUUCAUCCCUUUUUAUAGAUCUGAGUUUCUGUUUGGUGUUAUUUUCCUUCUACCCAAAAGGCUUUCUUUAAUAAUUCUUGUCACCUUUUCACAUGCUAUUGCUCCCACGUGAAAUGCUGGUCCCCCACUUACCUACAUGCUCUGUUCCCUCAUUCCUAUGUCUUUUGCUUGAAUGCCAUGGUCUGUGUGAAGUCAUUUAACCACCUAUGUAAAAUCAUAGUCUCUUGGCCCUUUCAGCACCCCCUAUAAUCCCUCCUUGCUUUCUUUAUCUUAGAGUCCUUAAUAUCACCUGACCUGCCUGAUAAUUUUCUUUUUAACCUACCUCCCUCCAGUUAGCAUAUGAGCUUCAUGAGAACAGGGAAUUUCAUAUAUUUUGUUCACUGAUGCACCUUCAGUAUCUAGCGACACUAGUGAUAAACCUAUCAUUAGUGCCUAUAACAGUGCCUAGCACAUGACAGGUGAUCAAUAAUUAUUUCUCGAAUGCAUGCAUGAGGCUUCUCUCAGGCCCCUACAAGCAGCAGAGAUGCCCUUCUCAACUCUUAGCCUGACUCUACUCUCCGUGUAUAUUAGUCCUACUCCAGGACUCAUCACCUUGUUCUAACCAGACGGUUAACUUAUUCAGUGGCCCAUCCCAUCCAAUGACGUGAUCUAACAACUGGACCUGGACGGAAUGGGUUCUGUCAGCUCAGUCUCACAUUUUCUGAAAACUGCCUCAGAGCCAGUGUCUCUUGCAGGCAGGCAGUGAGAAUACAGAAGGAAGAGGAGGCUGAUCCUGGCUCAGGAUGCUUGAGGGCCUCUAGUCGGGAGUGUGAUUAAUUCACCCAGAAUCACAAGGCUGGCUGAUGCCACAGAGGCAGGAGCAAGGGUUGAAGCUGGUGUUUGUGUGGAGGAGGCCAGUGGGAUUACUGGGGGAGUCUUCCCAGAGGUGGUGACAAGCAAACUGGGCUUUGACAAAAGCAAAUGAGAAAUUCAGGACAAAUCUAUAUAAGGACAAAUCUAAAGUGGAAUAGCUGGACAAUUAAAAACAAAAGCAAAAACCUGCGGGGCCCCAGAUUACUUCUCACUGGCCCAGAGCCUGGUCGAGAGGCUUCUAUGACUGUUAGGUUCCUCC